GCAUUGCAAAUUAUUUCAAUUUUUUCCAAAGCAUCAGGUCUUCGUCUGAACACAAAUAAAAUGUGUUACUUUCACUGUAUGAAUGCACAGAUCAUGAGAUAAUGUCAAUUCCUGUUAAAAAAGAAAUCAAAUAUCUGGGAGUUAAGAUAGUUGCAGACGAAAAACAAAGAGAAGAAAUCAAUAUGAAAGACAAAACUGAUCAAAUACAAAAAACUCUGAACCAAUGGCUUAGCAGAGAUCUUUCUAUUUUUGGGCGAAAUUUAUUGUCCAAGUCUGACGGUAUUUCCCAAUUGAUCUAUCCAUGUCAAUCCCUUUAUAUCGCUCCAAAAUCAGUGAAAAAUAUUAACGCUAUUAUAUACAAAUUUAUAUGGAGAAAUAAAACCCAUUAUAUAAAAAGAUCCCAGUUAGUCAAAGAACAUAAAAAUGGAGGUAUGAAAUCUGUGGAUUUUGAAGCAAUGCUGGGAAAAUUUAAAACAAAGUGGCUGAAAGAAUUUCUAAUAAAGACAGAUACAAUUUUGUUUCAUAUUCCAAAAAAUGUCUUCCAAGAAGUUUGGGGGGCUAAACUUUCUUUUGAAAUGUGACUUUGAAAUCACUAAAUUGCCUUUUAAAUUGUCUGAAUUUCACAAACAAGUAUUGCAUUAUUGGAAGAUGGUAUUUACCCAUAAUUUUACUCCUCAUUGUGCCACCUUGUGGAAUAAUCGAGUAAUUGUUUCAAACAGAAAGUCUUUGUUUAACCAACAGUGGUUUGAUCAAGGAAUUAUCUUUGUACACGAUAUUAUGGAUAAAGAUGGUGAAAUGUUACAGCUACAGAAUUUUAAAUACAAAUUUAAUAACAUUCAAUGUUCUCUUCAGGAAUAUGAGAAAGUAUAAGGCUAUACCAGUGACUUUGAUACAAAUGAUAGAAAACACGAUUCUCUUCUCUAAUGUUCAAAUAAAACUUCCUAAUUUAUUAAUAGGAGAAUUGAACAUCACAGAAAGAAAAUGUGAUAAUAAAUUUUUAAAUGGAGCCUUUAAAAUAUAUCUAUCAUGAUUAUGAUAGAAAGAUUAAAAUAAAAAUACUAGGAAAUCCAAUAAAUGAAGAAAAACAAUUAAAAUUUAUAAAAUGGCCUAUAAUGCCCAAAGUAAAAGAAAUGCAAUUUAAAAUUCUUAACAACUACGAGACACUGAGGAAGAUAUUUGGUUUUGAAGUUGACCCUUGUGAAUUCUGUCAGGGAAGCCCUGAAGAAACAGAACACUUAUUUUUCAGCUGUCAUAUGAGUAAGAGGUUUUGGGAAGAAGUCCAUUGUUGGUUAAGAAAUAAAAUAAGAGAACUUGAUCGAUUUACAAAUGAAGAUAUUCUUAUUUACAAUUCUAAAUUAAAUGGGAAUAAUUCAUUGUUAAUAAACAUUAUUAUUAUUAUGGGUAAAUACCACAUCCACAAAAGCAAAUGGAAAAAAACAACUGCCAAACAUGAACUGUUUCACAAAUGAAUUCCAUAUGUUCUUAUCCACUUUGACUCGUAUAAAAAAUUCAAAUGCAACUGCAAAAGCCAUUUGUCAUGCUGCAGAAAAAUGUUUAAUCUUCUAACAAUGUUUUUACUUUCUGAUAUAAGUGCCUCUUUUUAAGUUUAUUUGUUUUUCUUUUAUUGUUACUAAGGAUGCCUUGUAUGUUUCCAUUAUGUGUUGUUGUCUCACGAGAAAUUGUAAUAAGCAUUUAAUGAUAAUAAACAAAAAAAAACUCCAUCUCAGGCCACCGUACUACGUCAUUCAUUACGUCACGACUAAAAACAAGGCUAAGCGGAUGUUUGUCUCCCGACUUGGUUUAACGACAUGUUUUGUUACACUUUUUAGCUUAUUUACAAACCCGGAGUUGGACAGAAUAACGCGUUGGACCAGCUUUCUGCACAUCCGCAACUCGAUACGCUGUUUGUUGUUUCUUUAGCAAAUGAAAGUUAGCAGAAGCUGCGCGUUAGCCGGCUAGCUUAGCCGACUUCUGAUGUCAAGAAGCAUCAAUCGGAAUAUUUACUGUUUACUAAAACGCUUCUCGCUAACUACCUGGAAAAACGAGGCCGACGAAAUGAACGAGUUUCUGAAAAGAUGCUGUUUUCAAAUUCCUAUCAGGUUGUUCACGGCUUUCCCACAAGUGAGUUCUUAAAGCGGACGCAAACAAACGGAGCAGCUAACGGCGAACACGGACUCAAGCGGAGACAUGUCCAAUCUGGACACCCUAAUAGUGACGUUUCAGACCCAGCUCUCCGAUGUAAUGGAGGCUGUGGUGAAGACCGCGAUGUUUGAGGUCACCAGGCUGGUGGAGGAUGUCGUCCUGGUGGAGGUGAAGCGCAGUAAGCAGGAGGUGGAGUCCCUGAGGCUGCAGGUGGUGCAAAUGACUGAAGGAAAACUCUGUGGCGAUGGAGGUAAAACUAAACGGAAUGCUGCUGAUGUGAGGACAGAUUCGGAUCAGAACACUGGAAGUGUGGAAGAAAAGAUCAAAGACCUUCAGGAUGACAUGUUGAGAAGCUGCGAUUUGCAAAAUCCGGGUGAUUCUGUUGAAUGCUGGUUAUCAAGCUGCGACCAAGAAAGCAAAACACCAUCACCAGAUCACCCAGCAGUUACCCAGAGCCCUGAGGUCGCAGAAGAAGAUCUGAUGCCAGCCGUGGACAUGAAGGAGGAGGAAGGACAGAAACCGUCCUGUUCUUCUCUUCACUUGAGCAGCUGGAGCAACGCUCUAGAGGGUGAAUCUGGCUGUGAGUUGGGCGACGUAAGUGAGACGGUCGAUACACAACCAACUCAGGAAAACAGCGACGAGCUGUUGAAGAACGUGAUUAAAAACGACCCACAGAUAUUCACAUUUCAGGAGGAAACGCACGUGGCGGCAGACCAGCCUAACUGUCCAGCUUUUGAACUCGACUCCGGUUGGACCGGGCUGCCCACCGCGGCAGCUGGACUGGAACAUGAGUGUGAUCCAGUCAUGGCUGCAGGUUCUGCCGAGCACGGAGACCACGAGCGUUCUGACGCCAUCAGAAUGGAAGUUCGGUUUACCUCGAGCGGGGAUCAGGUUUCCUCCUCAGAAUCCUCAAGAUCCAGACGACAGCCCAGCAGCUCGUUGGGUGUAACGGUCAAGGAGGAAAUGCUCGAUUCCGAUGGUUUUAGGGAAACUGGGCACGCGGAAACGAAGCUGAAAACCUCUGGAAGACGAUCGUUCUCCCGCUCAGCGCCGCAGCCCAGAGGGAGUUCAGGACAUAAACCCAACCACGUUUACCACAAAGCCGCAGUGCAGGAUGUUUUGAAGCAACUCUCACACAAGGGUAUGGGAUUCCGAUUACAGACAGCUGUGCAACAUCUGCACAGACCACUGAAAAAGCCCCCCCACCCACUGUCCAGUAGCUCUGCUGCAGCACUGUCUGUGGCUCACUCUCAGGCGGUAAACCUAAAUAACUCCAACAGAACAUCCUCCUCAUCCAAAACCGUAGCUCCUCCCCCUCCAUCGGUGCAGCGCUCUCACCUGGGAGACAAACAGACUUUGAACCAAACCGGGGCCGCGUGGGUCAGCAUCAAACCCCAUCAGCACCAAGCAAGCCGCCACGAUACCAACCCCUGCCCCCGUCUGGACUCUCACCUUUACAGCGGCGCCAGACACCUCCUGUGCUGCAGCCAGUGUGGAAAGAGUUUCCCCCACCCCAGCAACCUAAAGGCCCACCUCCAGACGCACACGGGUGAGCGGCCGUUCUGCUGUCCGCUCUGCGGGCGCAGCUUCACCAAGCUCAGCAACCUGAAGGCCCACCGCCGCGUCCACACGGGGGAGAGACCGUACUGCUGCUUGGCCUGCGGAAAACGCUUCACCCAGAAGUGUAAUCUGAAACGCCACCAGAGGAUCCAUCUGGACGUAUGAUCAACAGUAGUUUAACGUGUGUACGCUGGGUCAAGGUGCUUCAGACAUUACGCUGCAGAUCCAAGCACUUUGUGUUCUACGUGAUGGACGUGGAGAAAAAUCCUGGCAGGUAGGAGGGAGUGGGUGAUGCUGUCAGUCACUGCCGCAGUGGUGUCCUCUCGGUCUGCCAGGAAAAGUCUUCUUCGGGGUCAUUUUUCUACCUGUUUAUGAAAAGGAAGUGUGGAUGGAGUAAGAUUGGUAUGGGGUGACUAGAUCUUUAAGUCUUUCCUUUUCUUUUUUUGUUGUUGACAUAGACAUGCUUUACUGGUCAAUCUAUGUCCCGACUCUCACUUACGGUCAUAAGCUUUGGGUAAUGGCCAAAAGAUUGUGGACACAAGUGGCCAAAAUUAGUUUCCUCUGGAGGCUGGCUGGGCUCAGCCGUAGAGAUAGAGUGAGGAGCGCGGACAUUCCGGAGGAACUCGGAGUAGAGCCACUGCUCCUCUGCAUCGACAGGAGCCAGCUGGGGUGGUUUGAGCAUCUGGUCAGGAUGCCUCCUGGACGCCUUCCUGGGGUGGAGUUUUGGGCAUUUCCUGCCAGCAGGAAGCCCCCAGGUCGACCCAGGACACGUAGGAGCAAGUAGAUCUCCAAUCUGGCCUGGGAUCGCCUUGGGGUCCUGCUGGAGGAGUUGGUGGAAGUGGCCGGGACGAGGGCUGUCUGGGAUGAACUGCUUGAGAUGCUACCCCGCGACCAUCCUUCAUACACAGCAUAUGAUUUAUGGAACCUCCCACUGUCCUCGUUUCUCUCACCUCUUGAACCUCCUCUGAUGUUAAUCCACCUGCAGCCAAAAGAUGACUGCCAACAACAGCUGGACAUUUAAAAGGAUCAUUUUGAUUAGUCAGUUUAGGUGUAGGCUGUUGCCCACUGCUUUGGUUCUCACUGUGCUGUUAACUGCGAUACGACCUCUCCGUGUCCAUGUUAAGGAAAUGAAAAUAUUUAUUCUAUUUAUGACACUUAUUAGCUCUGAAGUCCCAAACUGUGAUGAAAAUAUGUGGUAAAAGGCCUGUAUUUGUAUAGUGCCUUCUUAGGGUUCUACAACCCCCCAAGGCGCUUCACAACACAACCAGUCAUUAACCCAUUCUCUCUCUUGCCAAGCAAACAGAAUUCUGUUUGCUCUUGUGAAGCAAACCCAAUAGACAAUGUGAGGGGCCACAGAUCUGCCCCCUAAAGAUGUGCAGGAGAUGGAGGGAGCUCCAAGUCCCAGAGAUCCAGGAGCUGCCCCAGAGCACAGGAAUCCCAGGGAGACUGCGACCAGAAAAGCCCCCGCCCCUCUCGAGAGGCGCAGAGGAUCGCCCCGGGGGGCCACAACCAGCAGCCGGCAGAGUCCCGGGAGACAUCGGCGGCAAGCCCACAGGCCCACCCACAGCCUCCCAACCCCUAGCCGGCCGAGCCCAGGACCAAGCGACCCGGGACCCCGGGGCGACCAACCCCGCCGGGGACCCAGCAGAGCCCAGGGUCCCAGACCCCACCAGACAGCUACUGGGAUUGAUCAGGCAGAUGCCAAAAAUCUUAAACCCCCUGACCCGGGAGAAAUGACCCAGGCAGACCAAGGCACCGCACUCCACACCAGGUGUGGCAGGGGGAGGGGAGACGAAGAUCUAUAUCAUCAAAAGAAGUCCCAGGAGAAGGGAGGAGUCAAAGGCCCCACCUGACAUAUACAGUCAUACACAAACACAGUCACACACUCCCUCCCUCAUGCUUACACAUACACAUACAACCAAAGACUUUCAAAAAUGCAUGCCGGACACCCACUCAUGCUCCCCAUACACACCCUAUUCACUCUGGUCCCGGUACUGCUGCACAUGGGGUACAACCAUUACCGGUUCCCAGAGUUCGACCCUUUCUGCUGGGGUGCUGAUGAGCAGGCUCCCCCACCCAAUGCUGAGCACAGCAACCCACCACCCCAGACCCUAACCGGACGGCCAGAUCUCCCUCCUAGCCUCCAGCCCCAGGAAGCCAAGCGACGACAGAGGUGUGCUAAGACCCCUAGUCUCCCUCCGCCUGCUCCACUAUGGUGUUAGUGAGUGUUGAUGAGGUGUAUUCUAUGGCUGUGGUGAGCGAGCAGUGCAGGCAUCGUCUGGCCUAUGCCAGCGGAUGCCACCGCACCGUCCCACUUGCACCCACAGCCCUCAGUGUCGAAGUGCAGUUUAAAAUUGGAAGUGGGCACCGGCACUUGGGACGAGGCUGAGAAAUCCCCCUGCCAACUGCUGUUGAAUGUGCUCACUCCCAAGGCCCUAAGUGUGUGUUUGCACAGAAUGUCGUUGGUGGAAGUGUUUAAGGUGCAAAUAAAAUUGGGGGGCAGGUUGCCACAGGAAUGUGGAAAUGGGGUCCAUGCCCGCACUCCCUUACUUGUCCACCCCCCAAGGUCCUAUGUGCAUGUUUGUGUGAUGAUGUGAGGAAGCAGGAAGAGAGAAAUGUGUGGUGAUGGGGAGGAAUGGCUGGUUGGGCUUAGCCCUCCAGGGAGCCAGCUCCCCCACUGGCCCCAAUAGGCACCUCUGUUGUCAAAAUGCCACACAGGGCAUGGAGACCCCAGCCCAUCCUGCCUGGGCCCAAAGCGGCAGCAUCACAGAGCCUCACGGAGUCCGAGGGCACCAACCCAGCCCCACCCCAGCAGAAUAUCCACGCCCAUCCCUGCAUUUGCACAACUUCCAGAUUAUAUAAGACAUAGGACAUCCAGGUAAGGUUGGGUCCUCCCCCUCCUGGACUUCCCCCUCCCCUGUGAAGGGACAGCAGAGGAGCCAAGGUCUACCUGAGGCCCAUGAAUCCGAGCCAGGCACUGCUGCAUGUUCCUGCCUUCUCCCCGGCAGCAUACAUGUCAGGACCCGACCCCAAGGCCCCACCCGGAUCCCCCUAUGGGGCCGGCCACUCCCACACCCUGAGCCCCCAGGCCCCCACCCAAACCCGCCCAGGGGCAAUGCAGCUGCCGGGCAGUGACCCAUGACCACCCCCAGUGAACCCACCUCCAGGGAACUACCAGAUACUCCAAACUUAGACCCUCCACCCCCUCAACCACAUCAUCCCGCAGGACAAUAUCAAUGGUCCCCCGUCAUCGCUAUGUGAUGGAACCGAUCAAAGGAGCCCAGAGAGAUUGAUUUGAAGUGGAAGCAGAGGCUAUAUCAAGUGUAAUAUGAUCUAACAAAAGAUUUCUAUACUGGUUGAUGCAAAGAGUAUCUCUAUUUUUCAAUUCAGUUCAAUUCAAUUUUAUUUAUGUAGUGCCAAAUCACGACAAGAGUCAUCUCAAGGCACUUCACACAAUAAACAUUCCAAUUCAGGUCAGUUCAUUAAGCCAAUCAGAAAUAAUGUUUCCUAUAUAAGGAACCCAGCAAAUUGCAUCAGCAAUCCUCAUACUAAGCAAGCAUAUAGCGACAGUGGAGAGGAAAACUCCCUUUUAACAGGAAGAAACCUCCAGAGGAUCCUGGCUCAGUAUAAGCAGUCAUCCACCACGACUCACUGGGGAUCGAGAAGACAGAGCAGACACACACACACACACACACACACACACACACACACACACACACACACACACACACACACACACACACACACACGCACACGCACGCACGCACGCACGCAUGCACACACAAACACACAACAAGCAAUGUGUCUAUGGUUACAUUGUGAUUUCUUAGUAAAUAUUCUAUUUGGUGAGAGAUAAACUUUAGUGUAUUUAUCCUAGUGAAUCUAUAAUUAAACGGGUAAACUAGUAGUAGCACAUCCAACGUCAAGGAAAGCAAAAAGUUAUUAUCAGGAGAGGGAGAAUGUUUAAGUGGUUAGCAGCAGUGUGCUAGUCGAUGGUCCCCUCCAUGAGGCCACCACAGCUCAGCAGAACAUCAUUGUAGCUUGUUCUGGGUAGAAACACACUUAGAGAAAAAAUAAAGUUAACAGCUGAAAUAGCAGGAAAUAAUACAGUUAAAGAGCAGAUUGUAGAAGAAGGUAGUAGAGUGUGAAAAGUGGCCAGUGUAUCCUCCAGCAGUCUAAGCCUAUAGCAGCAUAACUACAGAGAUAACUCAGGAUAACCUAGCCUUUUUAGAUGGACGCAUGUUGGAGGCAGGGCAAGGGAGAGCCGUCUUUACCGACUGUACACUCCACCUCCCUUUACUCCCCCACUUGUCCAGAUCUAGGCUAACAUUGUGGGCAUGUUGGCGACAACAACAUCAGGUUAAUGGAUAAAUAUAACUGAAUAUCGUCAAGAUAACAGUGAACGUUUAUCCCAUGCUGUCUAAUGAUUUUACAAAUUGGGAUCAUAUAUAUAGUAAAAAGAAUUGGUCCAAGCACUGAACCCUGUGGUACUCCACAAGUAACCCUGGAGUAUGAAGACGAUUUGUCAUGUACAUUUACAAAAUGAAAUCUAUCAGACAAGUAGGAUUUAAACCAGCCUAGCUCUGUUCCUUUGAUCCCUACAGCAUGCUCAAGUCUUUCUAUAAGACAAUUGUGAUCUACUGUGUCAAAAGCAGCACUGAGAUCUAACAAGACUAGAACAGACACAAGAUUCUUAUCUGAGGCCAUGAGAAUAUCAUUUGUAACUCACUAAUGCAGUUUCUGUCAUGGUCCGUGGUGAGCUGCCUACCUGUAACCCUGCUUUUUCCCUCUGAGCAUUGUUUCACAGGUGGACGUGUCUGAGAGCUUCCAGAUGCAGCUGAUUCCAUCAUCAGGGCCCAGGGGAUUUAAGGACCAGUGUGACACUUCACCACGCCGGAUGAUUACUCUGUUUGGGUUCCUCUUCAUUUUUCCUCAUCUCCAGAACAAACCCGGAUCUCAGCAUUCCAGACCACACUGCUUCCUCCCCUGGCCACCCACCCUCAGCCGCUCACCUGCCAUCAUCCAUUCCUGCUCAUACGCCUCUGGAUAAAUCAAUUCCCUCACCUUCUGGAUCUCCUCAAGCUCACCCGGAGACCAAACCCUCCCUGUACGUUUCUCCACUACCAGGAAACAAAGAACUCACACGAAUCAACACAAAAGCUUCAUUUGUCCGCUCUGGUGAGGGAGCAGAUGGAGGGAAUCCCUGCAAAGAGCAACAAGUCUGGAGCGUAGCCGGAGUCAUGAAUUAGAAGAAGGAACCACAACUUCUGAGAUGUCAGUGAGUCAGAGCUGGAACUGGAAGAAAGAGACGAGAGGGGCAAACAUUUUCUGUCUUUUUCUACAAUGCUGCUUUUUUGUCUCUCAGCUACAUUUGUUUGAACACAACUACGAUGGUAAAACUUAACAGGAGGAAAAUCCCAUUCAUCUGUUAGCAGGUUGGCAGUAAUAAUGUGAGGUGAGACGGAUAAACAAGAUGAAUUGUAGCACUCGUGAAUAUUCAGGAACUUCCAGUACUCCAUGAGUCAUCUGCUUCUAUUCAGUUCAAAGAUACUUUAUUGAUCCCAGAGGGCAAUUAGUUUCAGUACACACAAUUCUGAGAUCAGACAUACAUACAUAGGCAAAGACACAUGACAAGAAUUGGUGACUGUGGUCAAUCGCAACCCGAGUUGUGCUACCUUAAUAGAGAUCAGAGGGUUUAUAUGAGGAUUGGGUCAGGUGGAGGAAAAAAAGGCACUCCAGAGUUACCUUCCACCAGGAGGGCAGCUUUGCUAUACAAAAAACACCUCAGACAGAUAUGCAGCAGACUUCAGACAUCACACAACAUAAGUGUCCAGUAGGUGGAGAGGUAGGGUUGGGGACUCUCCUCACAUCAGUGCAUGCAGCCGCGAUGAGCAGCGCUCGUCACCUCCGUUUGGACAGGGGAAGGAGGGAAUUAGAUUAGAAAGCACAGCGACUCCUGGAAACGAUUCAAUGGCCUUCACCGGUCGCAGUCCCACCCAGACUUGGAUAGGGAGACAGAGUUGCCAUGGCAACGGAAGCAUUCCACAUUUCUUCCGAGGGGGAGUAAUCACUUCAUCCUCACAGGCUCAAGGGCACCAGAUUCAGAUAAGAACUUGUUUUGGAGUCAGACAGAGAUAAUUUCCUCUCUGUCUUAAAGUUCUGUUGGUCCUCAACCCCUCUAAAUCCAAUAAUGGCGUAAAUUAAUCCAUCCCAAUCCGCGCUGACCCGUCAACGUCCUCUGCUGAUCAAAAACCACUCGACAGGUAAAACGCCUAAAUAGCUGAAAAGGCACAAACAGUUAUUUUCCUUUCACCCAACCAUCACAGUUCGCCCAGACUUUCACUGGGCCCACUUAUUUUCACCACUGGACACGAAAAGGGAAUCGGCUACCCAUGCCAAGAGCUACGUUUCACAUCUCAUCCUUUUGACAAGAGUUCCUGUCUGCAAAGUUUGUGGUGGACAGCAAAAUAAAUAAGAUGUAUCAGUGGAACAUCCCACCCAUUCUGCUGGGCGCUGCUCUCUUUCAGCAAAGGUAGAAAAAACACUCCUGCACGAUCCUCAGACCUCUGAACUCCUCAUCUACCGUAAGUGCAAGGUCUGAGUGUGUGUGCGUGUGUGUAGUUUUUUUGGUAUUAGUCAAUAAAAGUAGGCAUAAUGGUUUGUAUAUAGGUCCACGCUGGGGAGUUGCUCUAUUUUCUACUAGUAAACAAAAAUCAAUAUGACCGAGUGCCUUUAAUGCAUUUGUGCCCUAAUGGCCUGCGUGUGUGUGUGUGUGUGUGUGUGUGUGUGUGUGUGUGUGUGUGUCGAGUUGUUCUUGAAUGAGUGUGAAGGAUGUUUUGUUUUGGACAUCACGCUGGACAGUGGAGCAUGGUCUAACAUCCUGGACCUAAAUCUUCUUUUCCCUCAGAAAACUUUUGUGGAUUAUUAAAAGCUCAACUCCACGUUUAUCGCCAAACUCCCGUUCAGCGGCAGGAGCGUGGAAAAUUGACAAAAGGAGAUCUGAAAAUGAAACGUCUGAUGUGAGAUGUGCAAUGAGAUACUUCAACGUGUUUUGUGGAAGCUUGAGUUUUUCAUGUUUUCAGUAAAACAAUUCAAAACGAUGGAGGUGCUGUGCAGGCAUCGCUUUUCAGUGUCUUCCUCUUUGCCGAUGAUGCUCUUCUUUUACAGCCACAAAACUUGGACUCAGUUUAAAACAACCAAAUGCAUUUCCUUUAACAUUAAAGUCAAAAAUACUUUUUCUGCCAUAACAGAUUGAUGCUUUACUGCCUCGUUGCUAAUAACACAUGAUUAUUUCUAUUUUGUGACAUAAUGGUCAACAUAACAAACAACCCCAUGAUCCAACAUGCUGACGAACCCAACACUGUAAGAUGAAUUUUGCAAUGGAGUCUCACUCCAUCUCUCUUCCACUCUGCUGUUCAGAGUGCACCUGGUUGGCUGAAAUUAAACUGAAAUACCCCUUUUCAUAUUUAUUUUUAAUUAAAUGAAAAAUGCCAUGAAAAUGGCAAUUUCUCCUGGAGAUGUUGGCAUACUUUCUCCAGGAAUUGUUAAGAGCUUCAACAUAAUUAUUUUUAUUUUGAAAGUGACUUUUUUAUCCAGUCAGACCUGCAGAUGACUCUGAUAAGCAUGUUUUCUUUCUUUCUGUCACAUUCUGUCCUCGUUGGGUUCAUGUUCACUUUGUACCAUCUGUUCGAUCUACCUGCUGUGCUUCAGGAGUGUGUUUUAUGCUAGCAUGUAAUUUGCUCUGUUUGCUUCACAUGCUUUCUCGCAAAACCCCCAAGUGGUCCCAAAUUUUCAGUUCUGUGUUCUCUGUCUUCCAGCUGCUUACCCUCCUAAUGUUCUGGAGGUUUUAAAACUAGUAAAUAGUUCAGAAUGACAUUUGCAGCACUUUGUGUCUGCCUAUAUUUUUGAUUUGGCAUAAAGAUUAAGUGAUUUAAAGGAUAUGGAUAAUGGCAGAGGUGUGACCAAGCCACUGCUUUGCAAGUCACAAGUCAGUCGCAAGUCUUUCCAGUCAAGUCUCGAGUCAAGUCCAAGUCAAAGACAAUCAAGUCCAAGUCGAGUCCAAAGUCAGUGAUGUGGAAGUCCAAGUCAAGUCCAAGUCCUUAACUUUGAAUUUUCAAGUCAUAAUCAAGUCAUAUGUCCUACUUCAAUUUAAUGACAAUGAUAAUAAAUAAAUUCUAGAAAUAAAGCUUCUUAAAGCUUAAUUUAUUUGCUCAAACAGCAGAAAGUGCAGCUGAAAUAGAUUAUAAACAAAGUUCUGCUGAAUUUAGCAGUAAAUCAAACCCAGAACAACGAAAGAUUUAUGAUUUUUGUCCAUGUCGUGCCAAUUUUGUGCUAAAAUAUCAGAUAUGCUCAAGUCAUCAUCAAGUCAUCAGAUGCAAGCCGAUUCAAGUCGCAAGUCAUUGGCGUUGAAGUCCGAGUCAAGUCGUAAGUCUUUAUAGAUUUUAUCAAGUCAAGUCAGAAGUCAUUAAAAUAAUGACUCAAGUCUGACUCGAGUCCAAGUCAUGUGACUCGAGUCCAUACCUCUUGCUAAUGAAUGCACAAACUACGUGGCCUUUGCAUGCUGAUCCUCUCAUUCCUAUUUUGCAUCCUUCUUUCUCCUCUUCAUGCAUCGUAGACCUUCCCACCAACACUGCAAAGGGUUGUGAGAAGAGUUGAGACAUAAAACAUCUUUAAUUUAUUAUAACUCAGUCAAACAGUCACAUAAUAAUAGUGAUUUCUUGUUUAAGCAGCUUUGUUUUAUUAUUUCUGUCAUUUCAGCAUCAUGUGUGUUUGUGGACGCUUUUGCCUUUUUUAAUUGAACGUGCUCAUACAUUUGGUUAAGAAAAUACACUGAUAAGGGUUUGGUAUUACUCUCGCGUUGUUCCUUGUUUGUUUUCCUUUUUCCAUCUGUGCCCUCUGAGAAAUGGCAGGUUUUAGGGCUCUAGUAUUGCUCAUUCUGCUCAUCUAUGGAAUCUCAUCACCCUCAAAACUGUUUAUCUGCCCCGGUCUGCGCCCCCUCGUCUCAAGUCGGUCAGUUUACACUGGCGGUGCACAGCAGGCUUGUAGUCAGCCUAGUUUUCUAUGAAGUUUGUGUUAGCUUCCUAAUAUCCUUCUCUGUGUUUGUCUCAGGAACAUCCGAGGUUACCCGUCUGCCUCACUUCACAGCUCCUACUCACCUGUAUGAUUCCCGCCUGAGUUCUGACCGUUGCCACAGUCUGAUGCUUCGGAAAGCCUGGAAGGGAUUACUCCUCUAACCUCUCAGUCAUUGCAACUUGUGCAGAACCACAAAGACAUGUUCUGGAUUUAUAGGAAGUCUCAUUUUGAGAUUCCCAUCCCACUGUGACAAAAUGCAGAGGAUUUUCACCUCCAGUCCAGGAAAAGCUAGUUUUCUUUGUUCAGGUGUUUCAAUAUUUGGCAGCCAGAGUUUUCUGACUUGCUACACAAGUCAGCUCCUUGGUUGAGUCACAUCAACAUUUAACUUGACCAAAACUGAAAAAAAUUCCAGUUUAGAGUGAUGUUAGUUCUGUCAUGGAGUGAGCUGGAGCCCUUUUCUCUAUUCACUUAUGGAGUAAAUAUGGAGUAACAAGAUUUUUGCCUGUAUGUUAAGAACUGUAGGUGGUAGGAAGCAGAAGUACUUUAUUCAUGGGGACUUACUUACAGAAGUGUGGAAAACAUCCAUCCAACUCUUCUCUUCUUCUCCCUGUGUCUACUCCCUUUGCGGUCAGCUCAUUGGUCGCUGGAAGAACGAAACAAUGAAUGCUAGUCAACGGGGCUUAAAGAGCUAUUUUCUAAUCCGCUUUGACUUACGCAAAGGAUCACACAUAUGUUGUACUAUAUUUAAAUAAAAAGUAAUCAAGUGUGUUUUGAUCACGCCAGUCACGUACUUUGAGAUUUGCCAAAGUUCGUAAUUAGCAUGACUACAAAUCGGACAUCGAUGUGUCGCAUAUGUGACGUCACCACAGAAUCUCCUCCUCUCUAGCGUAGCUGCUAGUAACCACAUGGUCAGAUUUAUGGUGGUUCUUUACUCUUGAAGGAAGGAUUUGAAGUUUGCUGAACUUACAGCCAUUUUCCGGCUCUCUGUCCGGUCAGAGUUCUCUAGUGCGCCCCUAGUGGAACACUCCAGUACUACACGCAGUGCAGUGCCGUGUAGCAGCAAGUGUGUGAACAAAGACGCUGCCUGCAGCGGAAAGUUAAACAGCAACAAUAUUCCAGGCAUUGGGCUCCCUAUAUUGACCCUUUGCACUUACAUCACCUGACCACAUGUGUCCACCAUAGUGGACAGCAACCGUAAAUUACAGGAUUAUUGAAUAGACGACAAAAGUGGUGAUUGAGUAAAAAUUUUUUUUUGCCAGUUUAGCCUGGUUUUCAGUAGGGUUGGGCAUCGUUUAAUUUUGAACGAUUCCGAUUCCAAUUCCUCGUUUUAUUCUGGUUCCUAUCAAUUCCCGAUUCCGAUUCUUUCAAGACAUGACAUGUUUUACAUGAGCCAGCUAACCACAGGUCCUACUUGAUGAAAUAAUGUUAACUUCAACUUGAAUUUUAAUUCUAUGAACAACAACAUCACCUUCAUUUAGACACAAACAUGUUUUGGAGAAAAAAUAAAAAGACUUGCAGCGCAACCAGUGUGUUUGUUUCUGACCACAACCAGUCUGGAAGAAGCCUCUGGGAUGAGAGGCUAAAUGUCUCCAACAUAUCCAGAAACGUCCAGCUGUUUUCAGCUAAAACUCUCAGGAUGAUCAUGUCCAGGAUGACUGAGAACUACACCUCCAUGCUGCAGCAGCGUUCAGUCAGAACAGGAAGUGGAACUUAAACGUAGCUGCUGUCAGUAACAAUCUAACAGAUUAAACAUUAAAACUCAACAGAAAUAGUUAAGAAAGGAAAUUAAAAUGUUCA